UACGGAGGGUGCAAGCGUUUGUCCGGAUUUAUUGGGUUUAAAGGGUGCGUAGGCGGCCUGUUAAGUCAGUGGUGAAAGCCUCCAGCUCAACUGGAGAACUGCCAUUGAUACUGUCAGGCUUGAGUACAGACGAGGUAGGCGGAAUUGAUUGUGUAGCGGUGAAAUGCAUAGAUACAAUCAAGAACACCGAUUGCGUAGGCAGCUUACUAGGCUGUAACUGACGCUGAGGCACGAAAAGCGUGGGGGAGCGAACAGG
rnacentral:rRNA from 1 species